GUUUACAUGGUUGACUACAUCAGGACCUCGAAUUGGUCCACAGUUCAUAGUUACAGUUUACAUGGUUGAUACUCGGAUAUCGUCGGCUACAGCAAGAAAGACGAUAUGGGAGGAGCUUGAUGACAUCAUAUAAUACUGUUAUACACUCUGAUUGGUUGAAUUAUUUUUACAUUAUUGUUAACUAUUUCUUUGCUGCUGGGAGGUUCAGUAAAGAAAGAUAAAGCAAAUAUUCAC